rnacentral:rRNA from 1 species
GUCCACGCCCUAAACGAUGCGGACUGGACGUUGGGCACACUUCGGUGCUCAGUGUCGAAGCUAACGCGUUAAGUCCGCCGCCUGGGGAGUACGCUCGCAAGAGUGAAACUCAAAGGAAUUGACGGGGCCCGGCACAAGCGGUGGAGUAUGUGGUUUAAUUCGAUGCAACGCGCAGAACCUUAACCUGGUCUUGACAUGUCGAGAACCCUUCCAGAGAUGAGGGGGUGGCCUUCGGGAGGCUCGAACACAGGUGGCUGCAUGGCUGUCGU